rnacentral:misc_RNA from 1 species
AAGUCACAACAAGGCAACUGUAGGUGAGCUUGUGGUUGGAUCAUUAAUAAAUUUACAAGAUCUAAGCUUUAACUAAACAUUAAAGUCUUUUAUCUUAACAACUCUGUGAACUGUUAACUGUCUCUGGUAGGUUAAAAGUACUUCAACUAUUUUAAAAAAUAGUUGAUUUAUGGAGUUUCCACUCUACCUACCGUUUUAAACUUGAACUUUUAUUUUAAAAACUGUCUUGAAUUUAGAAUUUUUGACAACGGAUCUCUUGGCUCUC